rnacentral:rRNA from 1 species
AAAAACAUAGCCCCUUGAAAUUAAAUAAGGGGUAACGCCUGCCCAAUGGAACUAACUCUUAAUGGCCGCGGUAUCUUGACCGUGCAAAGGUAGCAUAAUCAUUUGUCUCUUAAAUAGGGACCUGUAUGAAUGGCAUCACAUUUUCUAACUGUCUCCUUUCUCUCCCUUCUAAACUUCUAAUAACGUGAAGAAGCGUUAAUCAAAAAGAAAGACGAGAAGACCCUGUCGAGCUUUAACUUCUAAAAGAAAAUAUAUUUCUUAUAGAAAUUUUUUAUCUCUUCAGAAGUUUUGGUUGGGGCAACCAUGGAGUAAAAUAACCCUCCUGAAAUCUAAAUAGAACUUUAUUCAAUUAAUAAAAUAUAAAGACCCAGUAUUUACUGAUUAACAGAAAAAGUUACCGCAGGGAUAACAGCGUAAUCUCCUUUAAGAGUUCACAUUGACAAGGAGGAUUGCGACCUCGAUGUUGGAUUGGGGCUACCAAAAGGUGCAGAAGCUUUUAAGGUUGGACUGUUCGUCCAUUAAACCCCCACGUGAUC